rnacentral:rRNA from 1 species
UACGUAGGGGGCGAGCGUUGUCCGGAAUUAUUGGGCGUAAAGGGCGCGCAGGCGGUUUGUUAAGUCUGUGGUGAAAGACCGGGGGCUCAACCCCGGAGUGUCCGCAGAGACUGGCAGACUGGAGUAUCGGAGAGGGAGUGCGGAAUACCUGGUGGUAGCGGUGGAAUGCGUAGAGAUCAGGUGGAACACCGAUGGCGAAGGCAGCACUCUGGCCGAGUUACUGACGCUGAGGCGCGAAGCUGGAGCGAACGGG